rnacentral:rRNA from 1 species
UGGGGAAUUUUGGACACUGGGGGAAACCCUGAUCUAGCCAUCCCGCGUGUGCGAUGAAGGCCUUCGGGUUGUAAAGCACUUUUGGCAGGAAAGAAACGUCAUGGGUUAAUACCCCGUGAAACUGACGGUACUUGCAGAAUAAGCACCGGCUAACUACGUGCCAGCAGCCGCGGUAAUACGUAGGGUGCAAGCGUUAAUCGGAAUUUCUGGGCGUAAAGCGGUCGCAGGCGGUUCGGAAAGAAAGAUGUGAACUCCCAGAGCUAAACAUUGGAACUGCAUUUUAAAGUGACGGGCUAGAGUGUGAGAGAGGGGAGUAGAAUUCCGCGUGUAGCAGUGAAAUGCGUAGAUAUGCGGAGGAACACCGAUGGCGAAGGCAGACAACUGGGAGAACACACACGGUCAUGCACGAAAGCGUGGGGAGCAAACAGG